GGGCAGGGGGUUUUCAUAAGGGCAGUGGGGGACCACUCUGAGCUGAAUAACAAGCAGGGGGUUGAUGUCGGGUUACAGCGCAGGCAGUGGCAGAGCAGGAGGAUGACGAGGACGCAGUGAGUUUGCGCAGGAGCAGGAAAGUUACACAAAAGCUGACUUCAUGACCUGAGUCAGUUCUCACAUUGAGAGAAUGCACCGCUGUGAAGACCAAGCACCGGGGAAUAGAGCACCACUGACCCACUUACGUUAGAAGCAAAAAAGCAAAUCAUCCAAUCAAGUGGCUGGAGACGAACAAGCUCUCCUCUCUUCUUCCAAGCGACAGAGAGAACGGGACUAAUCUCAGAUGUCUGCAGGACAUGCAGGGGAAGAGCAAACACAUGGAAGAUGGUGAUCUGGUCAGAAGCGUGCUGGUGGCAUCACCAUGCUGUGAAGGCGGUUUCCUUCAGCAUCAGCAGGCAAGCUGGACAAAGGUGACGAGACGUUGAUGGGAUCCCGGAGGAGAAAUUGUUAGAUGCUGCGAAAGACUUGAA